CGAUUUUUUCUCGCUCUUGCGAGAAUCCUGACGGCUUUUCCGAGGCGUUUUCCAGACCGAGAAAGAUCAGUUUUCCCAGCCUUUCUUCCGCGCCUCCUUGGUCUUGUCGGCUGUCAAGACACGGGAGGAAAUGCGAGAAAUCGCUGCCCAUCCGUGGUGGAAGUUCAGCCUGUUCCUCGAACUGGCAGUCCGCGUCUUUCUGCGAUACAUUCGCUCUCUCGCUUGCGACCAAAACGCGCUUUUCCUCGUGCUCUGAAAGGCUUUUUCCUUCCGCCUUUCCCAGACAGUGCCGAGACUGCCAGCCUGAGGCAUCCGGCGACGUCUGUGUGUGUGUGUGUGUGUGUCGCCGACGCGCCUUCACAGGCUUGCUCCGUUCUCAAAGAUUUUCCAUCCCGACCGCAUUUUAUACGUUUUUUCGUCUUUCCUUUUCCAGGCAGAGCACCUCUGGAGGGCAGUCCGCGUCUUUUCUCCGUAGGCGGGACCCCGAAAUUCGGAAAACUUCCACCCUGCGGAAAAGCGUUCUCUCUCGAGAAAACUGCGUUGCACAGAAAAGGCUGAGGACCGGACUGAACUCCGGUCCUCUUUCACAGAAGAAAAAUCGGAUUCUCCAGAGAGCUACAAGCCGCGCGCAUGUGCGGGUCUGGGGAACUUCUUAGAACUCAACGACAGAAACUCAUCGAAAACGAACGGUCUCUCAAACGCCCAUCUUUCCUGCUUUCGCGUUUCCUCGCUUUUCUUUGAUGGCGAAACAACUCCGAGGCUCAGAGAAUCCCCUCUCGGUUGCUCGUCUUUGAAGGACCUCCACGUUUCUUCCUCAAGUCCUCGACAAGCCAUCACGUUUUCCGCAGCAAGCAGAACAUUUGCGUC
rnacentral:lncRNA from 1 species